rnacentral:rRNA from 1 species
CAAAGAUUAAGCCAUGCAUGUCUUAGCAUGAGCUGAAUAAUAGUGAAGCCGCGAAUGGCUCAUUACAACAGCCGUUGUUUCUUGGAUCUUGUUUUACUUGGAUAACUGUGGUAAUUCUAGAGCUAAUACAUGCUAAAAAGCUCUAACCUUACGGAAGGAGCGCAUUUAUUAGACCAAGACCAAACAGGCUUUGCCUGGAAUCUGGUGACUCUGAAUAACUUUGCUGAUCACAUGGUCCUAGCACCGGUGACAUUUCUUUCAAGUGUCUGCCCUAUCAACUUUCGAUGGUAGCUUAUGCGCCUACCAUGGUGGUAACGGGUAACGGAGAAUAAGGGUUCGACUCCGGAGAGGGAGCCUGAGAAAUGGCUACCACAUCCAAGGAAGGCAGCAGGCGCGCAAAUUACCCACUCUCAGUGCGAGGAGGUAGUGACGAAAAAUAACGAGAUGGUUCUCUACGAGGCCCAUCAUCGGAAUGGGUACAAUCUAAACCCUU